rnacentral:lncRNA from 1 species
GUUAUUAAUAAUUAAUAAAUAAUAAAUAAAGGUUCAUCAGUGUCUAAAACAUAUUUUUUAAAAACUCCAUCCUACUUAUUGAUCGUUGGUGGGACUGCAAAAUAGUGCAGCCAAUAUGGAAAGCAGUAUGGAGAUUCCUUGGAAAACUGGGGAUGGAACUACCAUUUGACCCAGCCAUCCCUCUCCUUGGUCUAUACCCAAAGGACUUAAAAAUAGCAUACUACAGGGACACAGCCACAUCAAUGUUUAUAGCAGCACAAUUCACAAUAACUAAACUGUGGAACCAACCUAGAUGCCCUUCUGUAGAUAAAUGGAUUUUAAAAUGUGGCAUAUAUACCCAAUGGAAUAUUACUGUACAAUAAAAGAGAAUAAAAUCAUGGUGUUUGCAGGUAAAUGGAUAGAGUUGGAGAAGAUAAUGCUAAGUGAAGUUAGCCAAUCCCCCCCAAACAAAUGCCAAGAAACAAAUGUUUUCUUUGAUAUAAGGUGACUGACUCAUAGUAGGGUAGGAAAGAGGAGCAUGGGAGGAAUAGAUGAUCUCUAGAUAGGGCAGAGCGGUGGGAGAGCAA